UACGUAGGGUGCGAGCGUUAAUCGGAAUUACUGGGCGUAAAGCGUGCGCAGGCGGUUUUGUAAGCCAGAUGUGAAAUCCCCGGGCUUAACCUGGGAAUGGCAUUUGGGACUGCAAGGCUGGAGUGUGGCAGAGGAGACUGGAAUUCCCGGUGUAGCAGUGAAAUGCGUAGAUAUGCGGAGGAACACCGAUGGCGAAGGCAAUCCCCUGGACCUGUACUGACGCUCAUGCACGAAAGCGUGGGGAGCAAACAGG
rnacentral:rRNA from 1 species